rnacentral:tRNA from 1 species
CGCGGGAUAGAGCAGAGGUAGCUUGCAAGGCUCAUUACCUUGAGGUCGGGGGUUCGAUUCCCUCUCCCGCUA